CCUAGGUUGAUCGGGUUUCUGAGUAUUCUCUUGAGGGAACAUUCAAUGCUCACACAAGCUGCCUCUGGCAGAUACAGAAAAAAACCACAGGACAGCUAGUUGUGACCCAAUGAAUUGUUGUGAGGCUCUGAUCAAAGACUCCAGCUUAACUCUAAGAACCAAGAGAAAAGAAAUGUAUGCAUCCAGGAAGCAAUUAAUAUGGAACUGAGGCAAAUAUUGACUCAAGGCAAGAAACAGAACACCCAAAAGUAUGCAGAGCGAUAAGUGAGUAAAACAUCUUUCAGGACUAGACAACUGCCAGGAGGUGAUGGGUCCCUAACAUUAUUUGAGUGGAAAUAACACCAAUUGGAGUUCCAAAGAAUAGGCCAA
rnacentral:lncRNA from 1 species